AGAUGUGAGGGUGAUCUGACUGACACCUGUCACUCCAUUGAUCAUCAGGGUUGAUUCGGCUGAUCUGACUGGCUAGGUGGGUGUCUCCUUCCCUUACCGCUUCACGAACAUCCUUUCCAAAGCUACACACUCAAAAAGGCCUACCUUCCCAGAUAGAGGAGGACUGUUCUUUGGUCAAGGGUAUAUACUGGUAGCUAUGCUCCCCUGCUAGAACUUCUAAAGACACUCUCAAGAAUCAGACUUUCUUCACACUAACAAGUCUGUGCAUCACUCCUAGUAGAUUAACCAGUGUUAGGU
rnacentral:snRNA from 1 species